rnacentral:rRNA from 1 species
AUUGAACGCUGGCGGCAUGCUUUACACAUGCAAGUCGAACGGUAGAGGGGCAACCCUUGAGAGUGGUGAACGGGUGAGUAAUGCAUCGGAACGUGCCCAGUAGUGGGGGAUAGCCCGGCGAAAGCCGGAUUAAUACCGCAUGAGACCUGAGGGUGAAAGCGGGGGAUCGCAAGACAUAGCGCUAUUGUAGCGGCGGAGGUCAGAUUAGCUAGUUGGUGGGGUAAAGGCCUACCAAGGCGACGAUCUGUAGGUGGUCUGAGAGGGCGACCAGCCACACUGGGACUGAGACACGGCCCAGACUCCUACGGGAGGCAGCAGUGGGGAAUUUUGGACAAUGGGCGCAAGCCUGAUCCAGCCAUGCCGCGUGCGGGAAGAAGGCCUUCGGGUUGUAAACCGCUUUUGUCAGGGAGGAAAUCUUCUGGGCUAAUACCCUGGGAGGAUGACGGUACCUGAAGAAUAAGCUCCGGCUAACUACGUGCCAGCCGCCGCCGUAAAAC